GUCGAACGCGCAGCACUCUGUAGCAAUACAGGAUGUGGGCGCGUGGCGAACGGGUGCGUAACACGUGGAUAACCUUCCUUCAGGUGGGGAAUAACCCAGUGAAAAUUGGGCUAAUACCGCAUAACAUGACGAUGGCACAUGCUGUUGUCUUCAAAGGCGCAAGUCGCCAGAAGAGGGAUCCGCGGCCGAUUAGCUUGUUGGCGAGGUAAUGGCUCACCAAGGCUUUGAUCGGUAGCCGGACUGAGAGGUUGGCCGGCCACACUGGAACUGAGACACGGUCCAGACUCCUACGGGAGGCAGCAGUGGGGAAUCUUGCACAAUGGACGAAAGUCUGAUGCAGCAACGCCGCGUGGGGGAUGAAGCUUCUCGGAGUGUAAACCCCUUUCGACCCGGAAGAAUGCCCGCAAGGGCUUGACGGUACGGGUAUAAGAAGCCCCGGCUAACUACGUGCCAGCAGCCGCGGUAAUACGUAGGGGGCCAGCGUUGCUCGGAAUUACUGGGCGUAAAGGGUCCGUAGGCGGUGUGGCAAGUCGGAAGUGAAAUCUCUGGGCUUAACCCAGAGGCUGCUUCCGAAACUGCCGUGCUAGAGUGUGAGAGAGGCGAGUGGAAUUACGGGUGUAGCGGUGAAAUGCGUAGAUAUCCGUAGGAACAUCCGAGGCGAAAGCGGCUCGCUGGAUCACAACUGACGCUGAGGGACGAAAGCUAGGGGAGCAAACAGGAUUAGAUACCCUG
rnacentral:rRNA from 1 species